GUUGAGAUGGCCGAGUUGGUCUAAGGCGCCAGAUCAAGGUUCUGGUACUAAAUGGUGUGGAUUCAAAUUUCACUCUCAACA
rnacentral:tRNA from 1 species